AGCAGUUAGAAGCAGAUCAGAAAUCGAACACGUUUGCUUUUGCGAUUCGAGAGCCCUUUCUGGCGCGGAGCUAGGGGCGGUGUUACGUAGCUGCCCUGAACUGAGAGCAGCGUUGGCCGGGGGCUAGGGAGCCGGGCUGUUCCACGCUCACUGUGCGCCUCGGGCGGCGGGGCUCGGGCUCUGUCCGAGGUGCUGAACUCCGGGGCUCCGGCCGCGCCGGCAGAGUGUGCCAGCGUCCAUUAUUGCCAGUGUCUGUGGGCAUCUUCCAGAAGGCCGAGCAUGGGGGUCAGGUGAAACCAGGGCGCAGGAUGGCCUGGACUUCCUCACAGUAUGGUGGCUGGGGAGCAAGAGGAAAAGGCCCAAUGUGCAAGCACUUAUGGAGCCUCUGCCUGCAUCACAUUUGCUAAUGUCCCAUUGGCUAAAGCAAAUCACAUGGCCAAGCUCAAGUCUAUGUGGAAGGAGACUACACAAGAACAGAAAUACUGGGAGGCAUAAUUCUCCAACAGCUGCAAAGUAACAGUCUAUCACAAUUUCUAAUUCCAGCUCUUGCAGCCAGAAGACACUGUUGGGUUUUUAGAUGCAGGGACAGCCCAGAGAUCCAAGCAGAGGAAAUACGUUUGGCUCUGGGAGAGUCUGGAGUCUUAUUAGCAGCUAAAGAGCCUGACUGGGUUGUUGCAUGUGACUCCAUGGUGCAAUACAGCCUCUCCAGCCCAGGGGCCAUGACAAUAAGAAGCCUCCAUAACUGGGAGCCAGUGAAUGAAGGUAUCCUGAACAAGCAUGAAAAGAAGUAUCAGCUCAAACAGAAGUUCUAUGGGUCUAGGAUGGGAUCUUGGCCCCAGAGUGGGAAGCGGAAGAAUAAACACCCCAGCUUCCUGGCCCCUCAGGUGUGUUCUGGACCACCUCCCAGAAUCCCAGCAAGACUGAAGUCCAGGUGCCUACAACAUAACCUUCUCAUUGGCACUCUUUAAUGGUUUCCAUCCCUCCAUCCCUGUCAUAAUUCUUCCCUAUUAGGGCUUCCUGGGGUCACCUUUCAAAUAAACCACUUAUACUCAAA
rnacentral:lncRNA from 1 species